rnacentral:rRNA from 1 species
UACGAAGGGGGCUAGCGUUGCUCGGAAUCACUGGGCGUAAAGCGCACGUAGGCGGAUUGUUAAGUCAGGGGUGAAAUCCUGGAGCUCAACUCCAGAACUGCCUUUGAUACUGGCGAUCUUGAGUCCGGGAGAGGUGAGUGGAACUCCGAGUGUAGAGGUGAAAUUCGCAGAUAUCAGGAAGAACACCCGUGGCUAAGGCGGCUCUCUAGUACGGUACUGACGCUGAGACGCGAAAGCGUGGGGAGCGAAACAGG